rnacentral:rRNA from 1 species
UGUGCCCAGAUGGGAUUAGCUAGUAGGUGGGGUAACGGCUCACCUAGGCGACAUCCCUAGCUGGUCUGAGAGGAUGACCAGCCACACUGGAACUGAGACACGGCCCAGACUCCUACGGGAGGCAGCAUG